AUGCAUGGGAAUCACUUAUCUUUCAGCGGUGGCAUAAGUACAGAAGGCAUGCUCAGUAAUGACAAACAUACAUUAGUUGCAGACGAAGCAUUUAAUCGAACAGCUAGUAUUCAUAGUAAGAUAAGCAGUCAAAACUACAUGAACAAUGUGUCGAUUCUUAAAAGAAUGAAUGAUGUUCUGGUCAAUUCGAACCCGACUCGCAUUGAUGUUGUUCGAUGUGUGAUUCCGAGUACCUCCGAGUUUGGUCGUAUUUCUUUUCGGAUACAACGAAAUCCGGGAUGA